rnacentral:tmRNA from 1 species
GGGGGCGAACUGGUUUCGACGGGGAUCGUUGGGGUUGCGGCUGCAUGCCGAGGUGCCAUCUCCCUCGUAAAACAGGUGGCAAACUCAUAAUCGCCAACGAUUAUGACUACGCCAUGGCUGCCUAGAGCAGCCAUCGUCCUGCCGGUUCUUUCUUGCGGGGCUGGACAGGGCGCCGAUUAGCAAGAUAGUCCGGUUUCCUGACGCCUGAGGGGGAAUCCGGGCGAAACGCUUCCGCGGGCUGGCUUCCGGAUCCCCUGCCUGCCGGGUCGACGGAAGCGAGAACUCAAAGGUGGGCUACGCAUGUAGACGUCGCAAUUCCGGGUUUCCGGACGCGGGUUCGAUUCCCGCCGCCUCCACCA